rnacentral:rRNA from 1 species
GUUGCUCCUGGUUCUUCUAAUUGGAAUGAGAUCGAGCUAAACAGCCAUAUCGAGAAUCCAGCAGAGGGCAAGUCUGGUGCCAGCAGCCGCGGUAAUUC